UAAAAAAUAAUACAAAUAUUAUCUAAUUAAUGUCAAGUUCAGAUAGAUUGUUGAUGAUUUUGUACUACUCAUCUCUCUCCUUGUUCUCAUAGGGGAUACAAUAAAGAUGAUCUAUUGAUUUCAGGCCUAAAACUUUUGCAUUUUGUUAAAAUCUUAGACGUUGAAAUAUAACACAUUUGUUCCUUUUAGGCGACCAUCUACUUUCCAUAAAGAUUUAUUAGCACUUUUAUUGAUUAAAACUUAUCCUAGAUUGUCUUCUCCGGUAUCUGAUGUACCUCAGUCAUUAUGGUUUCACAAAGAGGGUCGAGGUGUAGGAAGACAUGCUGGAAAGUUGCACUUUAGGAUGGAAUUCUUAUCGAAGAAGACAUACAAGAGAUUGUUUGUACGACGUGAGGAUAUUAAACCACAUCUUGAACCUCAAAAUGUACCGGAUAUCGAAGAAAUGUUGCAGGAACUUCAAUAUGCUCUCUCCAGCAAGGAAACGAAGCAUCGAAUUUUUCAAUUAUGGAAGUUAACCAUUACAUACCGUAACAAACAGCGUGCUACUGGAAUCUAUCCUGUUUCCGUGGCGUUCCAUAGAGCUUCAGUAGAAAAUAAUUUCUUGUUAAAGUGCAUAUUUAACAUCUUUUUCACGAUUUAUUCAUUUUUUUCAGAUUCUUGAGAACUUCAACAUUUUGAAGACUCAUGCCAGCGAUUUCGUAUACAUGUGGGACCAGU